GAGUUUGAUCCUGGCUCAGGACGAACGCUGGCGGCGUGCCUAACACAUGCAAGUCGAACGAAGUAUAUUUUCGGAUAUGCUUAGUGGCGGACGGGUGAGUAACGCGUGAACAAUCUGCCCUGUACACAGGAAUAGCCUCGGGAAACUGGGAUUAAAACCGGAUAACACUUCUUGGUCGCAUGAGUAAGAAGUCAAAUUGAUUUAGAGGUACAGGAUGAGUUCGCGUCUGAUUAGCUAGUUGGUGAGGUAAUGGCUCACCAAGGCGACGAUCAGUAGCCGGCCUGAGAGGGUGAACGGCCACACUGGAACUGAGACACGGUCCAGACUCCUACGGGAGGCAGCAGUGGGGAAUAUUGCACAAUGGAGGAAACUCUGAUGCAGCGACGCCGCGUGAGUGAAGAAGGUCUUCGGAUCGUAAAACUCUGUCCUUGGUGACGAAAAAAAUGACGGUAGCCAAGGAGGAAGCCCCGGCUAACUACGUGCCAGCAGCCGCGGUAAUACGUAGGGGGCGAGCGUUGUCCGGAUUUACUGGGCGUAAAGGGUGAGUAGGCGGUAAUAUGUGUCAGAUGUAAAAGGCUAUGGCUUAACCAUAGUUGGCAUUUGAAACUGUAUUACUUGAGUGCAGGAGAGGUAAGUGGAAUUCCUAGUGUAGCGGUGAAAUGCGUAGAUAUUAGGAGGAACACCAGUGGCGAAGGCGACUUACUGGACUGUAACUGACGCUGAGUCACGAAAGCGUGGGUAGCAAACAGGAUUAGAUACCCUGGUAGUCCACGCUGUAAACGAUGAGUGCUAGGUGUUGGGUAGCGAUAUUCAGUGCCGAAGUUAACACAAUAAGCACUCCGCCUGGGGAGUACGGUCGCAAGACUGAAAC
rnacentral:rRNA from 1 species